rnacentral:tRNA from 1 species
GGGCCUAUAGCUCAGUUGGUAGAGCAGCGGCCUUUUAAGCCGCGUGUCGUGGGUUCAAGUCCCACUGGGCCCU